rnacentral:lncRNA from 1 species
AUCAAUCGACGGACAAUAUUGACUACAGCAAAUAUAUCUCUUUUAUAUCAGAUUCGAUCAUACAGCACCGCACAUCUCAAUAUCUUUCCAUUUUUGCGGGUUGUUUGUGAACAAGUAAUUUAUAGCUGUUUGGUGGAGAACAUUGCUUGCCAUCCAUUCAUUUGCAGUUGCACUCCUCUAAUGGUUUUGAUGCUUGCUAUUUUGAAUUUCAGCGGAUGAAGUAUACAUUUGGAUGCACUCAUGGUAAGAGACAUCAGUUGCAGACAACUACAAAUUAGGCUUCCCGAGCAUUGAAAAUGGAACUUACAACUACUUGCUGCA